AACCUAGCACACCUGCGGUGUGUACCUGCGGAAGGAUCAUUACACAAUACAAUAUGAAGGCUGUCCGCAGCUGGAGUAUUUUAUUACCCUUGUCUUUUGCGCACUUGUUGUUUCCUGGGCGGGUUCGCUCGCCACCAGGACCACCAAAUAAACCUUUUUUAUGCAGUUGCAAUCAGCGUCAGUACAAACAAUGUAAAUCAUUUACAACUUUUAACAACGGAUCUCGGAUCGGAAGAGCAC
rnacentral:misc_RNA from 1 species